CAGCUGAGAGGAGUGGGCGAGUCAGGUUAUGACUGAAAGGUUGGGAUUCCCCAGCUCAGCUCAGGGAUCAGGGCAGCCAUGCAGCUGGUUAAGAACGUGCCUUCUGAUGCUUCAGAGCGUGAAUGUUCCAGCAUACAUCCUUUCUCUCUGGCAGGCAGUUAAGAUGGCGGACCACCCUCUGUCCUAACCACAGAGACCACUGGUUUGGACCAAGACCAGGCUGUACACGUUUGCAUUCCCUGACCUAUCAUGCUUGUCCAGAAGUGUCCAGGAGCUGAACAUUACAAUAUCUGAUUCUCUCCUACCACUAUUGACCCUCCAGAGAAAAACCCAAAAGACAAGUUUAUUUUAUCAUGUG